CAGCCGCCGCGGUAAUACGUAGGUGCCGAGCGUUGUCCGGAUUUAUUGGGCGUAAAGCGAGCGCAGGCGGUUAGAUAAGUCUGAAGUUAAAGGCUGUGGCUUAACCAUAGUACGCUUUGGAAACUGUUUAACUUGAGUGCAAGAGGGGAGAGUGGAAUUCCAUGUGUAGCGGUGAAAUGCGUAGAUAUAUGGAGGAACACCGGUGGCGAAAGCGGCUCUCUGGCUUGUAACUGACGCUGAGGCUCGAAUGCGUGGGGAGCAAACAGGAUUAGAUACCCUGGUAGUCCACGCCGUAAACGAUGAGUGCUAGGUGUUAGACCCUUUCCGGGGUUUAGUGCCGCAGCUAACGCAUUAAGCACUCCGCCUGGGGAGUACGACCGCAAGGUUGAAACUCAAAGGAAUUGACGG
rnacentral:rRNA from 1 species